CUAGUUAUGUGCAAGGUAUGGGGUUCAAUCUCCAGAAAUAUAGAUAGAUAGAUAGAUAGAUAGAUAGAUAGAUAGAUAGAUAGAUAGACAAAACAACCUCCAGCACAGAGCUAGGGAUGUAGCUCACUGGUAGAGCGCUUGCCUAACAUGCACAAGGCCCUGGGUUCAAUACCCAGUAUGGAAAAAAAGAAAAGAAAAACAAGUUAUCCCUCUGACCUAACCUACCCCAUGCAGGAAUUCCAGGGAGAGCCAGGAAAUGGGCCACCUCUUUCAGUGGCAUCCUUCAGGUUACCUUCACCUCAGGCAGCUCCUAGGAGAUUUUCCUGGACAGAGGGAAGUUCCCUCCUUCGGAGAAGCUCCAGGGUUGGCAUCCUACUCUGUAUCCAACUGCACUGAGGUGAACCAGGAAGAUACCAU
rnacentral:lncRNA from 1 species